rnacentral:rRNA from 1 species
UCUGGUUCUUUUAGUUUUGUGGUAACACCUAAUCCAUUUCGAACUUAGAAGUGAAAUACAAAACGGGUUAAUUUUUAUUUAGAGGGACACCUCUUGAGAACAUUUUCCUAGUGCCAGGU